rnacentral:rRNA from 1 species
AACGAACGCUGGCGGCAUGCCUAACACAUGCAAGUCGAACGAGGCCUUCGGGUCUAGUGGCGCACGGGUGCGUAACGCGUGGGAACCUGCCUUUAGGUUCGGAAUAACUCAGAGAAAUUUGAGCUAAUACCGGAUGAUGUCUUCGGACCAAAGAUUUAUCGCCUUUAGAUGGGCCCGCGUUGGAUUAGCUAGUUGGUGGGGUAAAGGCCUACCAAGGCGACGAUCCAUAGCUGGUCUGAGAGGAUGAUCAGCCACACUGGGACUGAGACACGGCCCAGACUCCUACGGGAGGCAGCAGUGGGGAAUAUUGGACAAUGGGCGAAAGCCUGAUCCAGCAAUGCCGCGUGAGUGAUGAAGGCCUUAGGGUUGUAAAGCUCUUUUACCCGAGAUGAUAAUGACAGUAUCGGGAGAAUAAGCGCCGGCUAACUCCGUG